rnacentral:misc_RNA from 1 species
UCCGAUCUCUUCUUUGAAUCCAUCUGUGGCUUCUUCUAGGUCUCUAUAUGUAAAAGUGCGUUGAUUUGGUUCUAAAAUAUUGGAUGUGUGUGUUGGUUUCAGUUUGGUUUUGUAUGAGUAGAAAACAAACAGAGAUAUUGCUGCUACAAAUAGGAAAUUAAGGAAUACUGAGCUACCCAAGAACACUGCUCCCACCAGAAUCAAAGUUGCUCUAUCUUUCUUCUCUAUUUCUGAAUUCCCAGCAGAGGGUUCAUCAGAAGGAGCAUCAGAUUUGCUUACCUUGAUCAUAGCCUUCCCAUAGACGUUAUAAUCCAUCCUUCCUUUUGAAAGUGGGAGCUUUUUCCUCCAACAGGUCCCCUCCCUGAUGGUAGUAACCAUG